rnacentral:rRNA from 1 species
AAAGGUAAGCUACUAAGAGCGAAUGGUGGAUGCCUUGACUGGUAGAGGCGAUGAAGGACGUACUAGACUGCGAUAAGCUAGGUGGAGCUGUCAAGAAGCUUUGAUGCCUAGAUUUCCGAAUGGGGCAACCCAGUAUAUAGAGAUAUAUACUACCAUAAUGGAGCGAACGAGGGGAAUUGAAACAUCUUAGUACCCUCAGGAAAAGAAAUCAAACGAGAUUGCGUCAGUAGCGGCGAGCGAAAGCGUAAGAGGGCAAACCCAGUGCUUGCACUGGGGGUUGUAGGACUGCAAUGUGCAAGAGGAAAGGUUAGCAGAACACUCUGGAAAGUGUAGCCAUAGAGGGUGAUAGUCCCGUAUGCAAAAACCUAACCUUAGCUAGCAGUAUCCUGAGUAGGGCGGGACACGAGAAAUCCUGUCUGAAGCUGGGUAGAC